ensembl:miRNA
UGGUGCCUGGAUUGGAGGAUGAGAAUAUUUAUUAUUCAGAUCGCUCUUCUCUUUCCAGUCAUCAGC